AUUGAACGCUGGCGGCAGGCCUAACACAUGCAAGUCGAACGAGUGGCGGACGGGUGAGUAAUGUCUGGGAAACUGCCUGAUGGAGGGGGAUAACUACUGGAAACGGUAGCUAAUACCGCAUACCAUCAGAUGUGCCCAGAUGGGAUUAGCUAGUAGGUGGGGUAACGGCUCACCUAGGCGACGAUCCCUAGCUGGUCUGAGAGGAUGACAAGCCAUACUGGAAUUGAGCAACGGUCCAGACUCCUACGGGAGGCAGCAGUGGGGAUGAUUGCACAAGGGGCGAAAGCUGGAUGCAGCCAUGCCGCGUGUAGGAAGAAGGCCUUCGGGUUUUAAAGUACGUUCAGCGGGGAGGCGUUACCCGCAGAAGAAGCACCGGCUAACUCCGUGCCAGCAGCCGCGGUAAUUC
rnacentral:rRNA from 1 species